UCUCAGACGAGAAACUUCAUCUGGUCCCCCCAGACUAGGCCCUCAGUGGUGGGUUGCCGUGCUGGGGGCUGGGGUGAACUCGACAGGAGACCAGCCAGACCUCUCCUCUGGGGAAACCAAACCCGAGGAUCAGACCUGAGGAAAUGAACCUGAUGUAGAGACAACCAGAUAAAUCUUUAUUUGCGCCUUG